UUUAAUAUUUGAUUAUACAAUUAUUAUAUAUGAAAGGGCAAAUUUGUCAAACUACUUUAUAUAAUAAACCAAAAUAAAUAAAGGGAAACAAAUAUUUAAUUAAACAAAUUUAUAAAUAAAAAAACCUCAAUCAUAAGUUAUUAGUGGGAAUCCAAAUCACAAACGUGUCGUGAGCUUCCAUAGAUUCCGACGUAAUCUCCGAUUCACCACGAAAAACCUCAAUCACAAAUCAACCAUCACCAAAAAUUUGUACUAGCAGCCGUAAUCAUGUUUGAAACUUGAAGGUAGAAGUAUUUUGUCGAAAAAAGUAGUUCUUUAAAUAGCCAAUUUUGAAAGGAGGAAGAUGAAAAAAUUGAAGCCGAUUAUUCCUUGCUCCUUUACGCGGACACAAUAAUAGUAAUACAUAUAUGGAGGUUUAAGAAGGUGAUAUAGAUCUGGAGGUUGAAGAAGAAGAGUUUGUCUCUUUCGCACCCUAAUUUCAUCCAUAUGUUUAUCCUCCCUAUUAAAAAAUCUUCAUACCCAAACUCAAACCCAAACGAAAC
rnacentral:lncRNA from 1 species